AAAUCUGUGUACGUGAAGAAUACAAGGACGGGACUAGGGGAGGCAGACCCGGGUACCUACGGGGCAGGUGUCGCGGUAAUGCGGAGGGGGAUAGGGGUAUCUGGAGUAACUGGGAGUGAUGGGUGAGUAGGGGGUCUGUGAAGACAGGGGGGAAAGGCUACGGGUCAAGCGGGGUAAGCGCUGGAAGCGGGGAGAGUUGAGUGCAGGAGAGGAGAGUGGAAUUCCGAGGGUAGCGGGGAAAUGCGGAGAUAGUAGGAGGAACGUCAGUUGGGAAGGCGGCUCUCGGGACUGUAACUGACGCUGAGGC
rnacentral:rRNA from 1 species